AUGACAGGGCUGCAUAGCAUGAACAGUGAGGAGCAGUUGACAAAAUUCUUUCAGAUAUGGGGCAAGGUACAGGUGGCCACACUGGUGCCGAGGAAGGACAAAAUUGUAUGGAACCUGACGGCAAACGGAGUAUAUUCGUGUACAUCUGCCUACGAGGCACAAUUCUUUGCUCGGAUUCCUAAACCAGAGCUAUCACGAGUAUGGAGAGGCAUGGUGGAGGGGAAAGUGAAAUCCUACCUAUGGCUGCUGUUGCAAGACCGGAAUUGGACGGCUGACAGAUUGCAGGCGCGGGGGUGGCCGCACAACGCGCGUUGCAGCCUAUGUGAUCAGGAGUUGGAAACAGCGAAUCAUCUUUCCUUGCACUGCUCCUUUGCCAAGGUGAUCUGGGACUUGUUCCGGAGAUCAACAGAUGAUCUAUGCGGUACGGCGGCCACGGCGACGUCCAUAUCUGAAUGGUGGGAGCACACCGGACGUGGCCGAGGUUCGAAGGACCGAAACAAAGAGGAAAUGACGUUGGCAGCUUACAUUGUGUGGAACUUAUGGAAGGAGAGGAACAGAAGGGUCUUCGAGCACAAAGAAAUGGGUCCGCUAGAGUUGGCCGCGUCCAUUACUGAUGAGGUAAACAUGGUCAAGUUAGCCAUGAGAAGGGGACAGCCCUCAGAGAGACACUAG
rnacentral:rRNA from 1 species